ACGUGAUCUGAGUUCAGACCGGAGUAAUCCAGGUCAGUUUCUAUCUAUAAAGGGCUUCUUCCAGUACGAAAGGACCGAAAAAGCACGGCCCAUGCCUAAGUAAGCCGAAUUCAUUAAUUUAUGACUCAAACUCAAUAAACAAUUGACCUACAACUUUAUUCUAGACAAGAACA
rnacentral:rRNA from 1 species